GCCGCCGUGGUGUAACGGUAGCAUACGGGACUGUGGAUCCCUUGGCCGGGGUUCGAUUCCCCGCGGCGGCC
rnacentral:tRNA from 1 species